CAUAUCCUCAUUUCUGAAUAAAUCAGUCGACCGGGUCCACUCAGAAUACACCUGAAUUACUGUUCGGUUUCAGGACUAAUUGAUAUUUUCGUUAUUGCAGGUCAUAUAUGGCGUCCAGGAUGCAGCACGACAACCUGGCACUAUCGGGGACUGUGGAUCUGGUCAUUUAGUGCCGCGGUCCGACAAUCGUCCUUCACUGAGAAGUAAACAAGCUCAGAUGAGAAACGACAUUGACAGUUUAACGGUAUUUUGCUGUUUUCUCACCUUAACUCAUGUUUUCAGCCACAGAUAAAAAAAAGAACUGAUGAUGUUGUGUCUGUUUCCUAGCAACAGCAUCAUGGAGAACGUCACACGGAACUUCAGCCGUUGCCUUGACAGGUCUUGUUAUGAUAUGACUUAAAUUUAUACUUUGACGUUCUUUUAAUCAUAUCUAAGGCUCGACAUGGACUCACCCCUGACUUUAUUUCUGAGUUUUUUAUCCCUCUAGGAGCCGGGACGUGGUCUGAGAUCCUCUAACAGUGCUCUGCUGGGCUGGCUGUUCCAAGGUCCACAUCAAAAUCUACAUGUGAAAGGACGUUUGCUGUCAGAGGAGAUCAGACUUGCAAAGUGAGUCCCUUCUUUUAUUUCCCUGCUUAAGACAAAUUUUACAGAAAACCUUUUAUCCUGUGAUUUUAUCUCUUUCCCUCUCCU